AUGGGGGCUCGGCUGGUUCUUUUCGGUGUUCUCGCUCUGCUCCUUGCCGGCAGCUUCGGUGCGGCCCAGGCGGCGCCGGCCGUCGUGGUUGGCUCCGUCAAGUGCUUGGAUUGCUCUCCCGACGACGUUAGUGCUGAAGAUGCCCUCAAAGGGCUUCAGGUAGCCAUCAAGUGCAGGUCCAGCGCCGGCGAGACCUACGAGACGCAGACGGUCGGGCAGCUCGACGACAAGGGCGCCUUCAGCAUCCCCCUCCAGGCAGGCCUCCUGCGCGAAGACGGCGAGCUGGACCGCGACUGCUUCGCCCAGCUCCACAGCGCGCCCGACACGCCGUGCGACGGCCCGGCGCCGCCCAGGAUCGCCCCAGCCAAGUCCACCACCCAAGGCGUCGCCGACGCCAACACCUACCUCGCGGUCGCCGAGGACACGGUUUUCUCACCCGUCGCGUGCGCGUGCAAGAAGAAGAAGAAGAACUUCAUGGUCAGCCCGCCGCCGCCGCCUCCGCCGAGGCCGGAGCCCUCAUACGGGCCCCCGACGCCGACACCCACUCCCACGCCGACGCCCUCCUACGGUCCUCCUUCCACGCCCAAGCCGCCCGCGCCCGAGGAUGACCCGAAGCCGUUCUUCCACAAGCACCCCAAGAUGAAGAAGAUGAUGCACAAGAAGAAGCCGUGCCCGCCGCUCGGCGAGGAGGACAAGCCCAAGAACUGA
rnacentral:rRNA from 1 species